AACGAACGCUGGCGGCAUGCCUAACACAUGCAAGUCGAACGAGACCUUCGGGUCUAGUGGCGCACGGGUGCGUAACGCGUGGGAACCUGCCCUUAGGUUCGGAAUAACUCCCCGAAAGGGGUGCUAAUACCGGAUAAUGUCUUCGGACCAAAGAUUUAUCGCCUUUGGAUGGGCCCGCGUUGGAUUAGCUAGUUGGUAGGGUAAAAGCCUACCAAGGCGACGAUCCAUAGCUGGUCUGAGAGGUUGAUCAGCCACACUGGGACUGAGACACGGCCCAGACUCCUACGGGAGGCAGCAGUGGGGAAUAUUGGACAAUGGGCGAAAGCCUGAUCCAGCAAUGCCGCGUGAGUGAUGAAGGCCUUAGGGUUGUAAAGCUCUUUUACCCGGGAUGAUAAUGACAGUACCGGGAGAAUAAGCGCCGGCUAACUCCGUG
rnacentral:rRNA from 1 species